rnacentral:rRNA from 1 species
ACGGGGUGCAGCAGGCGCGAAAACUUUACAAUGCGGGAAACCGUGAUAAGGGGACACCGAGUGCCAGCAUCAUAUGCUGGCUGUCCGGAUGUGUAAAAUACAUCCGUUAGCAAGGGCCGGGCAAGACCGGUGCCAGCCGCCGCGGUAACACCGGCGGCCCGAGUGGUGAUCGUGAUUAUUGGGUCUAAAGGGUCCGUAGCCGGUUUGGUCAGUCCUCCGGGAAAUCUGAUAGCUCAACUAUUAGGCUUUCGGGGGAUACUGCCAGACUUGGAACCGGGAGAGGUAAGAGGUACUACAGGGG